rnacentral:rRNA from 1 species
GCCAGCCCGCUCAAGAAACUUAAAUGAAGUUGACGGGGCCCGGCACAAGCGGAGGAGCAUGUGGUUUAAUUCGAUGAUACGCGAGGAACCUUACCUGGGCUCGAACGUAAGAUGACUGUAGGUGAAAGCUUACAUCUCUUCGGAGCAUUUUACGAGGUGCUGCAUGGUUGUCGUCAGCUCGUGCCGUGAGGUGUCGGGUUAAGUCCCAUAACGAGCGCGACCCCUACCUUUAGUUGCCAUCAGGUUAAGCUGGGGACUCUAAAGGAACUGCCUACGCAAGUAGUGAGGAAGGCGGGGAUGACGUCAAAUCAGCACGGCCCUUACGUCCAGGGCUACACACGUGCUACAAUGGCCGAUACAGAGGGCAGCUACCUGGUGACAGGAUGCAAAUCUCCAAAGUCGGUCUCAGUUCGGAUCGGAGUCUGCAACCCGACUCCGUGAAGUUGGAUUCGCUAGUAAUCGCGCAUCAGCCAUGGCGCGGUGAAUACGUUCCCGGGCCUU